CGUUCACAGAGGAUCUCUGAGUUCUCUUUAGACCCUCGUUGAUGGUUCCUGUCCUGAGAGAGAAGAACUGACAUCAUUUAUGAGAACUACAGCCCCUGCUGUUUGAAGCCUGAACAUACCAACAGCUACUGAGGAAAGAACCUAAGAGUUACCGUCAUCUCAGGUUCUUGAGAACCUUACUGGUUUGCAAAAAGAUUGGGAACCAACGUCUGUCUGGACGAUUCCUGAAAUCCCCCAUUCCACAACUGGAUUCCAACAGCUGUUCCCUGAGUUGAAUACAAACAGCUCUCGGAACCCUUACAUCGUCAGAAUCUUUUUGUUAAUAUUUUUUUUUACAUAGGAUGUUGUUUUGGUGAUUCCUGUUUUGUAACUGAGGAGGAGGUCCCUGGAUUACUCGUAGAUUGUCUGAUGAGACAUCCUCUUGUUUAAAAAAUAAAUAAUUGCUUUCAGAUCAACAGGAAUCUAUUAACUGUCAAACUGUUUAUUAAAAUAAAAUUUUCCUAACAGCAAAUUCAGGUUUUUGUUUAGCAGAUUUAAGGACUAAAUGUUAAUAGAUGAUGUGAAGCUAAAGUUGGCAAUUUUGAAUCUGCACCUUAUUGAAGCGUUUCUUUAUCCAAGUCUAAUAAAAUACAACCCUUCUCAAAAUUGGGCAAAA